CCUACGGGAGGCUGCAGUGGGGAAUCUUGGGCAAUGGAGGCAACUCUGACCCAGCAACGCCGCGUGAAUGAUGAAGGUCUUCGGAUCGUAAAGCUCUGUGAUGGGGGAUGAACACAAUGACGGUACCCCAAUAGCAAGCUACGGCUAACUACGUGCCAGCAGCCGCGGUAAUACGUAGGUGGCAAGCGUUAUCCGGAUUGACUGGGCGCAAAGGGUGCGUAGGUGGUUUAGUAAGUUGGCGGUGUAAUUCCGGGGCUCAACCUCGGCGGUACAGCCAAAACUAGUAGACUUGAGUGCAGAAGGGGAAAGUGGAAUUCCUAGUGUAGCGGUGGAAUGCGUAGAUAUUAGGAGGAACAUCAGGGGCGAAGGCGACUUACUGGACUGUAACUGACGCUGAGGCACGAAAGCGUGGGGAGCAAACAGGAUUAGAUACCCCUGUAGUC
rnacentral:rRNA from 1 species